GACAGAGGGUGCAAACGUUGUUCGGAAUCACUGGGCGUAAAGCGCGUGUAGGCUGCUACGCAAGUCGGAUGUGAAAUCCCACGGCUCAACCAUGGAAGUGCAUUCGAAACUGCGUAGCUAGAGUUUUGGAGAGGAAGGCGGAAUACUCGGUGUAGAGGUGAAAUUCGUAGAUAUCGAGUGGAACACCAGUGGCGAAGGCGGCUCACUGGCCCGUUACCGACGCUCAGGCGCGACAGCGUGGGGAGCAAACAGG
rnacentral:rRNA from 1 species